rnacentral:rRNA from 1 species
GACGAACGCUGGCGGCGUGCUUAACACAUGCAAGUCGAACGGAAAGGCCCUGCUUUUGUGGGGUGCUCGAGUGGCGAACGGGUGAGUAACACGUGAGUAACCUGCCCUUGACUUUGGGAUAACUUCAGGAAACUGGGGCUAAUACCGGAUAGGAGCUCCAGCUGCAUGGUGGGGGUUGGAAAGUUUCGGCGGUUGGGGAUGGACUCGCGGCUUAUCAGCUUGUUGGUGGGGUAGUGGCUUACCAAGGCUUUGACGGGUAGCCGGCCUGAGAGGGUGACCGGCCACAUUGGGACUGAGAUACGGCCCAGACUCCUACGGGAGGCAGCAGUGGGGAAUAUUGCACAAUGGGCGGAAGCCUGAUGCAGCAACGCCGCGUACGGGAUGACGGCCUUCGGGUUGUAAACCGCUUUCGCCUGUGACGAAGCGUGAGUGACGGUAAUGGGUAAAGAAGCACCGGCUAACUACGUG